GACGAACGCUGGCGGCGUGCUUAACACAUGCAAGUCGAGCGGAAAGGCCCUUUCGGGGGUACUCGAGCGGCGAACGGGUGAGUAACACGUGAGUAAUCUGCCCUUCACUCUGGGAUAGCCCUCCGAAAGGGGAGUUAAUACCGGAUACGACCAUGGUACGCAUGUGCUUGUGGUGGAAAGGUUUCUUGGUGGGGGAGUGUGCUCGCGGCCUAUCAGCUUGUUGGUGGGGUAAGUGGCCUACCUAGGCUUCGACGGGUAGCCGGCCUGAGAGGGUGACCGGCCACACUGGGAC
rnacentral:rRNA from 1 species